AUGGAGUGGGGAAGGGCAGGCAGGGCAGGGCAAAUGAACAGGCAGCUUUGGGGGCUGGAGUUCAGACACAGAAAGCUUUUCUUCCAAACCCGGGUGAUUUCUAUGCACCACACAGUUUGUCUGUUGCCCUUCUGUUCAACAGUCUUGGCUACGUCUGAAGUGGGUCCUCCUAAGCCAUGUCAGCAAGGUCCAGCAUUCUGGUGCAGGGAUGCGGCUACAGCUGUUGCGUGUCACAAGGAGAAAUACUGCUUGGCCGGCGAGUGGAACACUUUGGAGGGACUCAUAGAGGGGGAAGCCGAAGCCCUUGCUCCGCUUUUUAAGUGCACCAUAUGCAAGAAGAUUGUCAAGAAACUCAGGGAUCUGGCUGGAGAUGACCCAGAUGAUGAAAAAGUUGACCGAGCAAUAAAAACCCUGUGUAAGGUCCUCGGCAAGUUCCUGCAGGGGCUCUGCAAAAGGUUUCUGAGACUGUACAAGGCAAAGCUGGUGAUGGAUCUGCAGAAUGGCAUGGAGACAGAUGAGAUCUGUGUCGAUCUCAAGAUAUGCAGGCCUGGCAUACAGGCACUACCAGGUCUGCCUCACUAUUAA
ensembl:lncRNA